GAUGAACGCUGGCGGCGUGCCUAAUACAUGCAAGUCGAGCGAACGGACGAGAAGCUUGCUUCUCUGAUGUUAGUGGCGGACGGGUGGGUAACACGUGGAUAACCUACCUAUAAGACUGGGAUAACUUCGGGAAACCGGAGCUAAUACCGGAUAAUAUUUUGAACCGCAUGGUUCAAAAGUGAAAGACGGUCUUGCUGUCACUUAUAGAUGGAUCCGCGCUGCAUUAGCUAGUUGGUAAGGUAACGGCUUACCAAGGCAACGAUGCAUAGCCGACCUGAGAGGGUGAUCGGCCACACUGGAACUGAGACACGGUCCAGACUCCUACGGGAGGCAGCAGUAGGGAAUCUUCCGCAAUGGGCGAAAGCCUGACGGAGCAACGCCGCGUGAGUGAUGAAGGUCUUCGGAUCGUAAAACUCUGUUAUUAGGGAAGAACAUAUGUGUAAGUAACUGUGCACAUCUUGACGGUACCUAAUCAGAAAGCCACGGCUAACUACGUG
rnacentral:rRNA from 1 species